CUGGCCUUGAAUCAAGCCCAGCAGUUUUCUGAAGCUGUUGGUUUCAAUCAAGAGACUAAAGAGGUAUUUUUCGAUGGUCUGCGGGCCAUCCGAGAACUUUAGAAAUGUAACAGUCAAUUCAUUAGAAAAAAACAAGU
ensembl:snoRNA small nucleolar RNA SNORA2/SNORA34 family